rnacentral:piRNA from 1 species
UAUGAAAUAAAAAGACCAGUAGA